CUCAGCGCCCAUCCCCAGAGUUGCCCUACAUGCAAGGGGACAAUCGGCUGGCGCGGCGCAUGCUCCUGCGGCUGGAGCAAAAGCUGCGAGGCCUGGAGGAGGGCGCGCCCUUGAGCGUAGCAGGACAGGUGAACCUGCUCAUCCAGCAGGCCAGGGACCCACACAACCUGAGCCGCCUGUUUCCUGGCUGGCAGCCCUACGUCUGAGCAUCAGGGACAGCUCCCAUUGUGGAAGUUCCAGCUGCACAUUUCACUACCUCGAGGUUGUCCCAGGGCUGCCAUCAUCAUCAGCUGCUGCUGACUUGAGCUCACUUGAACAAUGGUGGCUACACUGCCAGCUGUGCCAUCCACUGUGGAAACCAACCUGCCUGUUGCUUAGCCCAAUUGUAGUGGUGGCCAUAUUGGAAAGUGACCUGACAUGUUCUGUACUUAUUGAAACAGUUGAAAUAAGAAAGUGUUUAUGGGUGCCUAAAGUUAAGUGAAUACUGUGAAUAUCUGGAGCAGGUUCUUUGGUUUCUUUCUUUUUUUUUGUAUGUAUUGCGAAUUCAGUAGCUUGGGAAAGCACCUUGCAAAUUAUACUAUACUACAUUCAAAAGUAAGCAGUGAAU
rnacentral:lncRNA from 1 species